rnacentral:lncRNA from 1 species
AACUAUGAGUGCUGUAGCUCUUCACGUUCCUCCUGGAAGACAGGUGUAGGGCAAAGAUGAGCUCUGAUUCGCAGAGCCCUUCCAUCUACAUGCUUUCUUAGAAGCCUCAGCAAUAAGUUCAACAUUCAACUCAUUGGCUUGAAGUGUGUCAAAUGGCUGCCCCUUGCUUCAAAGGAGUCUGAGAAAAUAACUUUAGCUAGAAUUAAAGUUCCAUUAGAGUGCCUGGGUAGACAAAGAAGAGUCAGCUACAGAAGGCCAGUAUCAUAGCAAGUUGUUGCUCCAUGACUGGAAACAAAGAAGACUUCACUCUUUACUUCAGAUGCGCAGUUGAUAGAGUACAGCUAAGAUAUGACAGACGACGCUCAACACAUUUUGAGCAGAAGCGUGGUUCAGCACCAGGAAGGACACCAACUUUUGCAGAGACGACUCUUGGGAUGGAGAAAGACUUCCUAAAUCUUCAGGGUGCGGUCAAGACAGGGUAGGCUAGCGCCAGGGAAGCUAGUGGCUAGGCCCCAGGGCAGCUGGGGCCGAGGCCGAGCAAACGGCCAGGGGAGAGGCUCCCAGGAGCCCGAUCUGCCGCUGGGCGACGCGAAGCCUGGCG